rnacentral:snoRNA from 1 species
CCCCUCUCAGGGUCGCACCUGGAGAAUUUCCAGUACUUUACCAGUCCCAACUAUGGGAGGGAGAGUCAUGCAGAAACAUGCCCAUUCCAUUCCUAGUUUGGCCAGUGGCUAGUGGGUGGAAGGCAAUCUGCUACAAAU